UACGAAGGGGGCUAGCGUUGCUCGGAAUUACUGGGCGUAAAGCGCACGUAGGCGGCUUUCUAAGUCGGGGGUGAAAUCCUGGAGCUCAACUCCAGAACUGCCUUCGAUACUGGAAAGCUCGAGUCCGGGAGAGGUGAGUGGAACUGCGAGUGUAGAGGUGAAAUUCGUAGAUAUUCGCAAGAACACCAGUGGCGAAGGCGGCUACCUGGACCGGUACUGACGCUGAUGCGCGAAAGCGUGGGUAGCAAACAGG
rnacentral:rRNA from 1 species